UGGACUUGCCCUUGAUGUUAGGAAAUGGGACCCUUCUGGGAAUUGGGAGCCAGCGUUUAUGCACAGGUGCACUCAAGGCUUGACCCCCUGUCCCGCAGGCUAAGUCUGAGAACUCCAACUGGUCUUGGGUGGUUAGCAUCCCUGGGGAAAGGCUCUCCAGAGGAACACAUCUGGCCCACCUCAGAGAAGUUCCCCAGCAGAAGUCCCGGCCACCACAAAGUCGCAGCAGAAAGCCAGAAGGCACACAGGGACUGGGGCGCUCUCCUGAGGACCAGCAGGACCAGCUGAGCAGGUGAGUGCCGAUGUUGGACUCGCAGGUCUGACACAGGUUGCAAGAGCGACCUGGGAAAGGUCUGUGGGUAGCUGGGUAGCUACUACCAGUUAUGGCUAAAAUGGGGUAAAAGGAGCUGGACUUGCCCCUUGCCUGAAACAACAGCAAUGAAACCACCAAAGAAACCCCCAAACAAACAAACAACCAGGAAUGCAUGUGAAACCAGGGUUUUCACGUCCCUCCACACCAGGUGACGAUAGGCGUGAUCAGAAGAGACAGGAAGCAGGGGGCUGAGCCCAGGGAUUUCCCAGCUGCUGCUGGUGGGAGCCGGCAGCCCAGCAGGACAGCUGAGUCGGGAGACCAGACGGGGGUCGGCAUCGAUGACACAGGAGAGAGGGCGCAGAAUGAGAAGCCUGAGCUGAACAGGAGGCCUGGCUGAGUCCAGCUGAGCACAGAUGUGUGGAAGUGUCUGGGACAACUGCAGGAGGCGGGGGAGACCUCCCCAGAGGGUUGGAGGAGAUCCUCACACGGGCCAGGAGCUGCCUGUGCCCAGACUUGAGAUGCCAGGUAGGCACACAGGAGUGCUCCUUCCAGAGUAGAAGCCCCCAACCCCUACACCAAAUGGGUCCUGCCUAACAAAUCUGAAAAGCAAGUCCCCAAGGAAUCCAUCUCGCUUCAGAGAAACUCUACUUUAUUCUUGAACCCAGCUCAUUAUGAAUAGAAAUGACUAUCACUCAGCAAGUCAAGUUUCCAUCUCUGGCAUCCCAUUAUAGGCAGAAUUAAAUUAUGCCCCCCAACUUCAUCUGCUGCAGCUGUGUAGGUCCUUCCGGUCCACGGUGGGCCCCAUCACUGGCUGGUCAUGUUGUCCUAGACAACUUCUAUCCAGGUUAAUGAGGGAUAUUUGUGUCUGUUGUUCUCUUUCCUGUGAGACUCGGCGUGCCUUUGGUAUCGGGUAGGGCUGACCUGCAGAGCUCUGUGGAAUAAGAGGACCACUUCUCCUGAAGGCUGCCCAGACCUCACCCGGAGUGGCUGCAGGAAGCCGAGUGGCAGCUGGCUAAGAUGUGAAGCCCACACCUGCAUGCGACCCAGACGCCCCAGCCGUGUCUGUUUACCUAAGAAAAACAGGAGCGUGGAGUAUUUGCACGUCCCAGUUCAUGCCAACUCUAUCUGUAAUAGCCCCUGAUUGCCCUCAGUAAGCAGGUACAGGGAUGGAG
rnacentral:lncRNA from 1 species